rnacentral:ncRNA from 3 species
CAGCAGGACGGUGGCCAUGGAA